UAUCACGGGAGACACACGGCGGGUGCUAACGUCCGUCGUGAAGAGGGAAACAACCCAGACCGCCAGCUAAGGUCCCAAAGUCAUGGUUAAGUGGGAAACGAUGUGGGAAGGCCCAGACAGCCAGGAUGUUGGCUUAGAAGCAGCCAUCAUUUAAAGAAAGCGUAAUAGCUCACUGGUCGAGUCGGCCUGCGCGGAAGAUGUAACGGGGCUAAACCAUGCACCGAAGCUGCGGCAGCGACGCUGAUGCGUUGUUGGGUAGGGGAGCGUUCUGUAAGCCUGUGAAGGUGGCCUGUGAGGGUUGCUGGAGGUAUCAGAAGUGCGAAUGCUGACAUAAGUAACGAUAAAGCGGGUGAAAAGCCCGCUCGCCGGAAGACCAAGGGUUCCUGUCCAACGUUAAUCGGGGCAGGGUGAGUCGACCCCUAAGGCGAGGCCGAAAGGCGUAGUCGAUGGGAAACGGGUUAAUAUUCCCGUACUUGGUGUUACUGCGAAGGGGGGACGGAGAAGGCUAUGUUGGCCGGGCGACGGUUGUCCCGGUUUAAGCGUGUAGGUGUGUGUUCCAGGUAAAUCCGGUUCACUUUAACACUGAGGCGUGAUGACGAGGCACUACGGUGCUGAAGCAACAAAUGCCCUGCUUCCAGGAAAAGCCUCUAAGCAUCAGGUAACAUCAAAUCGUACCCCAAACCGACACAGGUGGUCAGGUAGAGAAUACCAAGGCGCUUGAGAGAACUCGGGUGAAGGAACUAGGCAAAAUGGUGCCGUAACUUCGGGAGAAGGCACGCUGACACGUAGGUGAAGUGAUUUACUCAUGGAGCUGAAGUCAGUCGAAGAUACCAGCUGGCUGCAACUGUUUAUUAAAAACACAGCACUGUGCAAACACGAAAGUGGACGUAUACGGUGUGACGCCUGCCCGGUGCCGGAAGGUUAAUUGAUGGGGUCAGCGCAAGCGAAGCUCCUGAUCGAAGCCCCGGUAAACGGCGGCCGUAACUAUAACGGUCCUAAGGUAGCGAAAUUCCUUGUCGGGUAAGUUCCGACCUGCACGAAUGGCGUAAUGAUGGCCAGGCUGUCUCCACCCGAGACUCAGUGAAAUUGAACUCGCUGUGAAGAUGCAGUGUACCCGCGGCAAGACGGAAAGACCCCGUGAACCUUUACUAUAGCUUGACACUGAACAUUGAGCCUUGAUGUGUAGGAUAGGUGGGAGGCUUUGAAGUGUGGACGCCAGUCUGCAUGGAGCCGACCUUGAAAUACCACCCUUUAAUGUUU
rnacentral:rRNA from 1 species